CCGAGCACGCCCCGCGUCCCCGCCCCGCAAGGGCAGCGUCCUCGGCGCCGAAGGCCCUCGGGAGAGAAGACGCCCGAGGCCGGCCGGAGGGCUCCGAGAGGAAGGAGAAGCGCCCCGCGGGGCCCGCGGCCCAGGGCGGGAGGGCAGCCGGCGGGGCUCGGCACUGGUUGCGCAGGGACCUGCGCGUGCGCUGCGUGGACAAGCUGCACGAGGGCGGCCGGUAUUACAACACCAAGAUGAAGAUCGAAGAUGUCCCGAGCCCAGAUUCGUGCGUGUGCCGGACAGAUGAAGGACGGGUCCUGGAAGGCCUGAGGGAAGACAUGCUGGAGACCCUGGUGCCUAAGAGGGAAAAAGAGGCAGAGAAGGCAGAGAAGAUGAAUCAAGUGAUGCACAGGAGAAUCUUGGAGGUCUAGUUGUGUGGUUAGGUGUGCAUCCAACCGCCUCGGGCUUCUUGUGUCCACCUGGACCACCAUGGUUCCUUCUGGGGGAGAGAUGAGAGAAUGGUAUCUUCACAUGACAUCUUACGGCACUGAGGUCAGGAAGAGGACAUAACCCUUGACUUAUGCACUCUGACACAUGACAUUAUGCUCAACAUCCCAUUGUACAUUUUAACUCUCCUAACUCUUGAGACUUGUGUCAUUGUAAUAAUUAAC
rnacentral:lncRNA from 1 species